rnacentral:rRNA from 1 species
AGCAGUCGCCGCGGGAAUACGUAGGUGGCAAGCGUUGUCCGGAAUUAUUGGGCGUAAAGCGCGCGCAGGUGGUUUAAUAAGUCUGAUGUGAAAGCCCACGGCUCAACCGUGGAGGGUCAUUGGAAACUGUUAAACUUGAGUGCAGGAGAGAAAAGUGGAAUUCCUAGUGUAGCGGUGAAAUGCGUAGAGAUUAGGAGGAACACCAGUGGCGAAGGCGGCUUUUUGGCCUGUAACUGACACUGAGGCGCGAAAGCGUGGGGAGCAAACAGGAUUAGAUACCCCAGUAGUCCCUGUCUCUUAUAC